GACGGAAGGUGCAAGCGUUGCUCGGAAUCACUGGGCGUAAAGCGCACGUAGGCGGCUUCUCAAGUCAGGGGUGAAAUCCUGGAGCUCAACUCCAGAACUGCCUUUGAUACUGAGAGGCUCGAGUCCGGGAGAGGUGAGUGGAACUGCGAGUGUAGAGGUGAAAUUCGUAGAUAUUCGCAAGAACACCAGUGGCGAAGGCGGCUCACUGGCCCGGUACUGACGCUGAGGUGCGAAAGCGUGGGGAGCAAACAGG
rnacentral:rRNA from 1 species